UACGUAGGGUGCAAGCGUUGUCCGGAAUUAUUGGGCGUAAAGAGCUCGUAGGCGGUCUGUCACGUCGGCUGUGAAAUCCCGAGGCUCAACCUCGGGUCUGCAGUCGAUACGGGCAAACUAGAGUAUUGCAGGGGAGACUGGAAUUCCUGGUGUAGCGGUGAAAUGCGUAGAUAUCUGGAGGAAUACCGGUGGCGAAGGCGGCAUCCUGGACCGACAUUGACGCUGAACGGCGAAAGCUAGGGGAGCAAACGGG
rnacentral:rRNA from 1 species